rnacentral:rRNA from 1 species
UACGUAGGGUGCAGGCGUUAAUCGGAAUUACUGGGCGUAAAGCGUGCGCAGGCGGUUUGCUAAGUCAGGUGUGAAAUCCCCGGGCUUAACCUGGGAACUGCGCUUGUAACUGGCAAGCUUGAGUGUGGCAGAGGGGGGUGGAAUUCCACUUGUAGCAGUGAAAUGCGUAGAGAUGUGGAGGAACACCGAUGGCGAAGGCAGCCCCCUGGGCUAACACUGACGCUCAUGCACGAAAGCGUGGGGAGCAAACAGG